AUGGACGGGGGCGAGGCCCAUCCUGCCCGUCGCCGCCUCGCCCAGGAGAAGGCGGAGAACUUGGCCGCCGCAGCCGAGGCCGCUCGAACCCAGCACCAGGCCACGCUGAACUCCCAGGAGGAGGACCUCGCAAAACGCGAGGCGGCCGUCGACGCCAAACUCCACGCCAAGGACGAGACAGUGGAGAAACUCGUUGUGCAGCAAACCCAAGAGCUGGAGCAGAGGCACAAGGAGGCGCUCGAUGCCCAGGCUCUGGUUCACACCGACAAGGUGAAGGAGCUGGAGGUGGCACGGGACGAGCUGAAGAAGCAAGCCCUGGAGCUGACGGGGGAGAGGGAUGCGGCCAAGGGCGCCUUGGCUGACACGCAGGCCGCAGUCCUUGGCAAGGCCGAGCUGCUCUCCACGGCCAACAACUCCAUCGGGGACCUGAAGCUGAAGCUGGAGGGCCUUGAGGGGACGCUCUCGGAGUCCAAGGCCCGGGAGGGGACCCUGGCCAAGGAGCUGGACACCGAGAAGCAGCUGCGGAAGAACGAAGCCGCCAACCACGAGGAUUCCGUGGAGGGCGUGAACCGCUGGAUUGGCCGUCUCAUGGACGUCACUGGCAGGAUCACCAUGCAGCUGACUACCAUGGGGGUGCCAAAUGUGAGGUAUGCCCCAGAGCGCAGCGGGACUACCAACGCCAAGCUGACCCUGUUCUUCGAGGGCGUCCUUGGUGUCCUAGAGAAGCUUCACUCCAACCGGGCGGCCUCUGUGGCCGAUGAAUCCCGGAGACUUUGCCGGGGUGCCAUGACCAAGGUUCUCACCAAGGUGGCGUACUGGUAUCCUGACCUCGACUUCGACGCCGCGCUAGAGAGCUUGCCGGGGGAUGCUGACCUCGCGCCGCUCAAGGAGCGUAUCAAGCCCGUCAUCAGCGGUAUCGAUAGAAUUCAGAGGGUGGAGGGCCAGCGCCGGGAUUAG
rnacentral:rRNA from 1 species